GGAGUAGCAAUACUCCCGCCGGCGACCGGCGCACGGGUGAGUAACACGUAUGAAACCUGCCCGUAGCAGGGGGAUAAGCGGAAGAAAUUCCGUCUAAUACCGCGUAACAACCCAUGGAGGCAUCUCCGUGGGUUUAAAGGAAGCGAUUCCGGCUACGGAUGGUCAUGCGUCGCAUUAGCUUGUUGGCGGGGUAACGGCCCACCAAGGCGACGAUGCGUAGGGGUUCUGAGAGGAAGGUCCCCCACACUGGUACUGAGACACGGACCAGACUCCUACGGGAGGCAGCAGUGAGGAAUAUUGGUCAAUGGCCGCAGGGCUGAACCAGCCAAGUCGCGUGAGGGAUGACGGUCCUAUGGAUUGUAAACCUCUUUUGUCAGGGAGCAAAGGGCGCCACGUGUGGCGUUUUGCGAGUACCUGAAGAAAAAGCAUCGGCUAACUCCGUGCCAGCAGCCGCGGUAAUACGGAGGAUGCGAGCGUUAUCCGGAUUUAUUGGGUUUAAAGGGUGCGCAGGCGGAAUGUCAAGUCAGCGGUAAAAUUUCGGGGCUCAACCCCGUCGUGCCGUUGAAACUGGCGUUCUUGAGUGAGCGAGAAGUAUG
rnacentral:rRNA from 1 species